rnacentral:rRNA from 1 species
AUGGAGGACACCGACCCCAAGUCUAGUGCCUCUGCUCCGGCUGCUGUCCAGUACAUGUUCUUAUCUUUCCCGUUAGAAGUUCUGCAACAGUUCCUUCUUCUAGUGUUUGCUCUACACAUGUUAGGCUCUACUUCAUAUAUGCAUCUUGAUCUACUGUCUGCUCUAGAGAUGAUCGGUUCUAGCUCAUAUAUGCACAUAUUAUUUACCUUCUCUUUUUCAAAUAGCAUGGCUUGUUUUAUCACUGCUAUACUAGUCAUGCUUUAUCUAGUAUUUCUGUUAAUAAAAUCAUUCAGUAAAUUGCUCAUAUUUCCAACAAUCCAAAAACCUUAUUAUAGGCAAUUUACCUCGAAUGGUUUUGCUGCUUCCAUGAGACCUCCUAUGUUUGAGGGUAUCCACUAUAAGAGGUGGCGCGUGAGAGCAGUCUUAUGGUUUCAAACUAUGAGUUGCUAUGACGCCACUCUUGGUAAACCUGAAGGAGAGCAAGAUGCCCAACAGGCACAAGCUUUUCAGAAAAUGGAUACCUUGUUUAAGGCUGCUCUCUUGAGUGUUCUUGGUGAACAUAGUUGA